rnacentral:misc_RNA from 1 species
AACUUGUUGCAACGUAUCACUUGGCUCUCCUGUCGAUUAAGAACGCAGCGAAAUGCGAUAAGUAAUGUUAAUUGCAGAAUUCAGUGAAUCAUCGAAUCUUUGAACGCACCUUGCGCCCUUUGGUAUUCCGAAGGGCAUGCCUGUUUGAGUGUCAUUAAAUUAUCAACCUUGCUCGCGUUUACCGGCUUGAGUUAGGCUUGGAUGUGAGGGCUUUUGCUGGCUUCCUUUAGUGGAUGGUCUGCUCCCUUUAAAUGCAUUAGUGGGAUCUCUUGUGGACCGUCACUUGGUGUGAUAAUUAUCUAUGCCUUUUGACUUUGAAGCAAACUAAUGGGAACCUGCUUAUAACCGUCUUCGGACAAUCUAUUGACAUUUUGACCUCAAAUCAGGUAGGACUACCCGCUGAACUUAAGCAUAUCAAUAAGCGGAGGCU